rnacentral:rRNA from 1 species
GGCCACAGCCAUAUCACCCUGCAGCCCAAGACUGGUUGCCCACUGAAGCUAAGCAGGGUUGAGCCUGGUUAGUACCUGGAUGGGAGACCUCCCGGGAAAACUAGGUUGCUGUUGGAA